UGGGGAAUAUUGGACAAUGGGGGCAACCCUGAUCCAGCAAUGCCGCGUGGGUGAUGAAGGCCUUCGGGUUGUAAAGCCCUUUCGGCGGGGAAGAUGAUGACGGUACCCGCAGAAGAAGCCCCGGCUAACUUCGUGCCAGCAACCGCGGUAAUACGAAGGGGGCUAGCGUUGUUCGGAAUUACUGGGCGUAAAGGGCGCGUAGGCUGUGCUGUAAGUCAGGCGUGAAAGGCCCGGGCUCAACCUGGGAACUGCGUUUGAUACUGCGGCGCUGGAAUGCAGGAGAGGAUGGCGGAAUUCCCAGUGUAGAGGUGAAAUUCGUAGAUAUUGGGAAGAACACCGGUGGCGAAGGCGGCCAUCUGGCCUGCAAUUGACGCUGAGGCGCGAAAGCGUGGGGAGCAAAC
rnacentral:rRNA from 1 species